rnacentral:rRNA from 1 species
AUUGAACGCUGGCGGAAUGCUUUACACAUGCAAGUCGAACGGCAGCACGGGUGCUUGCACCUGGUGGCGAGUGGCGAACGGGUGAGUAAUAUAUCGGAACGUAUCCAAUAAUGGGGGGUAACUAGCCCAAAGGUUAGCUAAUACCGCAUACGCCUAGAGGGGGAAGGCUGGGGAACGUAAGACCAAGCGUUGAUGGAAGGGACGAUAUCUGAUUAGCUAGUUGGUGGGGUAAGAGCCUACCAAGGCGACGAUCAGUAGCUGGUCUGAGAGGACGACCAGCCACACUGGAACUGAGACACGGUCCAGACUCCUACGGGAGGCAGCAGUGGGGAAUUUUGGAGAAUGGGGGCAACCCUGAUCCAGCCAUUCCGCGUGAGUGAUGAAGGCCUUCGGGUUAUAAAGCUCUUUCGCAAGGGAAGAAAACUCGAUCUCUAAUAUAGGUUGAGGCUGACGGUACCUUGAUAAGAAGCACCGGCUAACUACGUGCCAGCCGCCGCCGUAA